UCAAGUGCGGGACAGGCUUGGCCGAGACCCGGUUUCCUGCGUUGCGUACCUAGACGAAGAAGGCAUUCGUUUUUGUCCCAACGACCCUCGUUCGUUUAGAGGUCCCCGUUUUGGCGGGGCGCAAGGCGAAAGUUGCAGCUUUGUCCGUUACCCACGUCGCGGUGAACGGGGCACUGCUCAAGCUCUCGGACACGGAAAGCGUUGAGGGCAUUGACAUUUCAUCCUUGCCCGAGCAUGCAUUAGAUUGGACCCUAACAACGGUGCACGACUGUCGCUCCCGCCUCGGUUCGGCCGUGCGGGCAGGACGUCGUUGAGGAAUGCUACCUGGUUGA
rnacentral:misc_RNA from 1 species